CAUUACCGAGUGAGGGCCCUCUGGGUCCAACCUCCCACCCGUGUUUAUUUUACCUUGUUGCUUCGGCGAGCCUGCCUUUUGGCUGCCGGGGGACGUCUGUCCCCGGGUCCGCGCUCGCCGAAGACACCUUAGAACUCUGUCUGAAGAUUGUAGUCUGAGAUUAAAUAUAAAUUAUUUAAAACUUUCAACAACGGAUCUCUUGGUUCCGGCAUCGAUGAAGAACGCAGCGAAAUGCGAUACGUAAUGUGAAUUGCAGAAUUCAGUGAAUCAUCGAGUCUUUGAACGCACAUUGCGCCCUCUGGUAUUCCGGAGGGCAUGCCUGUCCGAGCGUCAUUGCUGCCCUCAAGCACGGCUUGUGUGUUGGGCUCCGUCCUCCUUCCGGGGGACGGGCCCGAAAGGCAGCGGCGGCACCGCGUCCGGUCCUCAAGCGUAUGGGGCUUUGUCACCCGCUUUGUAGGACUGGCCGGCGCCUGCCGAUCAACCAAACUUUUUUCCAGGUUGACCUCGGAUCAGGUAGGGAUACCCGCUGAACUUAAGCAUAUCAAUAAGCGGAGGAAAAGAAACCAACAGGGAUUGCCCCAGUAACGGCGAGUGAAGCGGCAAGAGCUCAAAUUUGAAAGCUGGCUCCUUCGGGGUCCGCAUUGUAAUUUGCAGAGGAUGCUUCGGGAGCGGUCCCCAUCUAAGUGCCCUGGAACGGGACGUCAUA
rnacentral:rRNA from 1 species